UAUAUAAAUCUGUGCUUUGCUCAACACUGAAUCAACUAUCGCUAAUUCCAAAAGACAAAAUGCAUCACAAAUAUUUCAUUCUCCUUGCCUACUUUUUAUACUUUUUGUCAUAUACCAAUGCUAACAAUUUGAUUGAUGAGAUUUUAACUGAUCUUCAUAGUCUCGGGCAAAGAGACAUGGCGUCCUUGGUAAAUCUUUUUUGAUAUGAUUAUGUAAUGAUAUUUAUCAUCAGUAAAUUGGGGCUGCUUUAAUUGAGUGUAUUUGAUAAACAUUUUAUUAACAUACUGUUAUUACGCUUUUUUUUCUCUAGGGUUUGAAAAACAAGGGUUUGAAUGUGCCAGCAAACCUCAACAUAGACCAGUGUGCUUGCAAAGACGACGUCUUGGAAAACCUAGUUGGCAUUUUCAAAAUGGUGGAUACAGCUGUGGACCCUACUUUACCAGCACUGACUUCAAAACUCCAUCACAGCAUCCAAGCCCUACAGCUCCAGUCAGAGGGAACGAGGACAUCGUCAAUGAGAUGCACAAAACCAUCCAAAACUGGCAAUAUUUUUGCAAAAUACGAAACAUUCUUCAAAAUAUUGAAUGAGAAAAUAUGCAGUUAGGCAACAAAUGUUAACAAGACCGAAACAAAAAACAAAACAAAACAGAAACUGUGUAUGCAUAGAUAAUCGUUUUGGUUGUUUUUUUUUUAAUAGGAAAUCAUAGCUUUCCCCCCCCAAAAAAAAUAAAUAAAUGGGAUUUAUUUUUAUUUGUGAAUUAAUUUAUUUUUUUACAUUUUUAGUUUUAUUAUUUAUUGUUAUUUAUAAUAAACUGUAAGCAGUAGCUACUAAUCAUGUGUCGUAUUUUUUUUUGUAUACACCUUUCUGUUUUUAUGUGGCUACAGUAUAUACUGAAACAAUUUAAAUAAACUUGAAGGUGUUUUUAAUAUCUGUUGCAUGUGAUUUAUGUUUCAUUCUUAAACAAUUUUGUUUUACUAUGUAUUACAUUGUUUUAUGCGUACAUUGAACACCUGAACAGGAUAAUAAACAAGAACUUGACACAGUUUAUGUUUGAGUGAUACAGGCAGAUCUUAAUGCCGUUGCCCUGAAAUUUAAAGCCCUUUCCCUCACCAUUGAAGCUUGAUUGUCUAUCCGGUCAAAUAAACAUAUAAAUGUGACUUGAGUAUGCACAACUGUUACUGUUUCAAAUGGGCAUGCAUAGUUCUAAAUCUGUACAUACAACACUCACCAUAUACUAAUGAAUAAUGUGCUGUCUUCUAUCUCCUUACCUGAUUGCUUUAAUGGUCAAAGACAUGUACAGUCAUUAUUUGAAUUAAGUUUUGGUGCCAGUUUUCCAAUAUUCCCAUUGUCGUGUUCCUCUUUGUUCCCUUUCCAUCGUGACAUAAGGUAGACACAUUUCGGAGAGCUCUGUCCUGCUGGGGCCCAGACAGAUGGGAAGUGUAGGCAGAUAAAUUAUCUGGUAUCUGAUGACAGAAUUUAUAUUUAGCAGUACCUUAUGUUGUCUUUACAUCACUUAUAUCUAGGGCUUUAACUUUGCGGUUUUUAUUUUCCAAAUCUCUCUCUAUCUCCCUUUAAAUGUUAAUUAGUAGUUGUU